rnacentral:tRNA from 1 species
ACCUGGCUGGUUCAGUUGGUAGAGCAUGUGAUUCUUGAUCUCAUGUUGAGAGUUCGAGCCCCAUGUUGGGUG